GUGAAGGAUCUCAAGAUGGCUGGGUGAAAACUUGCUCUAAAAACCAUUGCCUGGGUAGCUUUUGGGGAGAUCAUACCCCGAAACCAGAAGGCCAUUGCUAACACCCUGAAAUCCUGGAAUGAGACCCUCACCUCCAGGUUGGCUACUCUACCUGAGAAACCACCUGCUAUCGACUGGGCUUACUACAAGGCCAAUGUGGCGAAGGCCGGCUUAGUAGAUGACUUUGAGAAGAAGUUUUAUGCCCUGAAGGUUUCUGUGCCAGAGGAUAAGUACAGUGCCCUGGUGGAUGCUGAAGAAAAAGAAGAUGUGAAAAGUUGUGCUGAGUUUGUGUCUCUCUCAAAGACCAGGAUUGAGCAAUACGAGAAAGAGCUGGAGAAGAUGAAGAACAUAAUUCCAUUUGACCAGAUGACCAUCGAGUAUUUGAAUGAAGUCUUCCCAGAAACCAAAUUAGACAAAAAGAAGUAACCUUACUGGCCUCACAAGCCAAUUGAGAAUUUAUAAACUUGAGUCUGAGAGGAACUCUGCUCCUUGUAUUUUAAACUCUGGACAUUAAAAAUAAUCAGAUGGUAAAAAAAA